rnacentral:rRNA from 1 species
UGGGGAAUUUUGGACAAUGGGGAAACCCUGAUCCAGCCAUCCCGCGUGUGCGAUGAAGGCCUUCGGGUUGUAAAGCACUUUUGGCAGGAAAGAAACGUCGCGGGUUAAUACCCCGCGGAACUGACGGUACCUGCAGAAUAAGCACCGGCUAACUACGUGCCAGCAGCCGCGGUAAUACGUAGGGUGCAAGCGUUAAUCGGAAUUACUGGGCGUAAAGCGUGCGCAGGCGGUUCGGAAAGAAAGAUGUGAAAUCCCAGAGCUUAACUUUGGAACUGCAUUUUUAACUACCGGGCUAGAGUGUGUCAGAGGGAGGUGGAAUUCCGCGUGUAGCAGUGAAAUGCGUAGAUAUGCGGAGGAACACCGAUGGCGAAGGCAGCCUCCUGGGAUAACACUGACGCUCAUGCACGAAAGCGUGGGGAGCAAACAGGAUUAGAUACCCUGGUAGUCCACGCCCUAAACGAUGUCAACUAGCUGUUGGGGUCUUCGGACCUUGGUAGCGCAGCUAACGCGUGAAGUUGACCGCCUGGGGAGUACGGUCGCAAGA